UAAAGACCAGUUCCCUCUGGCCUCUACAGUUUGGCUCAGCACCAGGGAACCUGUGUCCUCUCUGAGACCAAGGCACCACACCAGUGACAGGUAUAGUAUCCAUUUGCUCCCUUCUUUAAAUUCCCAAGUUGAGGCAGUGUUCAUAGCAGCCAAAGGUAGCUUGGAUAUGCCCAUCCCAUUUUCCUUAUUCCCAUCAGGGAUUUGGGGUGAAGGGUAAAACAGAUAAAGUUUCUAUUGAUCUUCUAUCCUGAAGUUUCCAGUGGUCGAGAGAAGGGGGUGUAUUUUCUACAGAAGGAUAUUUAGGAGACAGUCAUAUGAAAGGCAAAAGUUCUCUGGAAAUCUGACAGUUCUGGUUUUUCAUUUACCCAAUAUUUAUCUUUGGGCAAGUCCUUUCUCCAGCCCAUGUUUCUUUUGCAAAAAGAGGAGGCUGAGAAAGGUUAAAUGGAUGCAUCUUAAGACUUAGUUUUUAUAUCCCUUUUUUUGAUAAUUGCCAUUCCUCAAUUGAUAAAAGAAAUGGGAGAGAUGCUUGAAUAUAUACUACCAGGCAGGGUUAACACAUCCAGGAGGAGAGCUGGUGGUGAUCCAUAUAGUACUCUCUGAGAGUUAUGACUCAAAGAUGAAGGUCUCUUUUUCCUUUAGUCUUAUAUUUGAUUACUAAAAUUUUGGAAUUAAACAGACCCAUAGAGAUUGGGUGUGUAUAGAAGAAAUUUAAAUCCAGAGAGAGGAAGGAAGGAAGGGACUUUCCCAAGGUCACACAAAGAAACUGUAGCAGAGCUGAGACUGGAUUCCCAAGCCAGGGCUCUUUCUGCUCUACCCUAGGAGAAAUGAGACACCAAGAAGCAGGAGUUGCCUUGUAACUUACCCAGGUGGGCCUCCUUAUACUGGAUGCAGUUUGGAUUUUUUUCCAUAAUUUUUAUUGGUGCAUUUUAGUUGUACAUAAAGUGGGAUUUGUUGUUACAUAUUUGGACAUGCACACAAUAUAACAAUAGAAUUUGGCCAUUGUCAUUUCCAGUAUUUCUCCUUUCCCUCCCGCCUUCCCCCUGCCCCCAUGCCUUUGCUCUACUAAUCUCCCUUCGAUUUUCAAAAGAUGUCCCCCAAAUUUAUUUUCAUUUUUUUCUUUCUAGAUUCCAUGUAUGAGAGAAAACACAGGACCUUUGACUUUCUGAACUUUGCUUAAUUCAUUUAGGCAGGGUCCUGCAGACUUCUUUUACUCCACUCCUUUUACAAAUUCUUGGUUCACUCUGGGAAUUCAGAAUUCCUCAGAGCCUACCUACACUUUCUCUUUCAGGCUCAUCUUUUCCAAUCCCCUUCACCAAAAUUGACCUCAAUAAUAGGGGCUUUGUGGAGCUCUCUAAUGGAAAAUUUUGCAUUUCAGUGGGGACAAAUGAUGACACUUAAGAUAGUAUAAAUGUACCAACAGAUGAACUUUCAGAGUCCCUCCGUAUCACCCCAUGUAGGUAUCCAUCUCUUCUUUCUAUGAGUCUGGCCAGUCUUUCUCAAGUGAACCUGCUUUUCUUACGAAAACUCAAUUGGAGAAGCAUGGACUAGAGCAGCAAGAGUAGAAAUGAAACCAGUCUAAUUCUAGCUCAGCCUCUUAAUUUCUUCCAUCAAUGCUGAGAUAAUAUUGUCCACAAACUGUUCAACUUCCUGUAUACCAGGAAUCAUUAGCCCCUUUCACACUUUUCUUCCAGGUUUCCUGAGGUGAAUGAAGUCAGAAGUGGCAUUCAGGAAGCUGUGAAUAUCUCCAGAUUAUCCAGGUGUUCUCACUGCAGCUGGAACAGAAUGGAAGUGAUGACAGAAGAAAGAUACCAGUCCAUUUCUCUCCCCCUGCCACCCCAACUCAAAUUCUGGUAAUUAGCUUCCUUUGCUAGCUUCCAUCCACAGCUCCAAUGGCUGAGCCAAAGUCUGAUCACAUGUAAGAGGCUCUGAAAAUCUCACCAAACACUUUCCAACAACCCUGUAAGGUAAGUUUUUUUUUUGGUCCCAUUUCUAGAGAAGACAAAUGAAGCCCAAAGAAAAACUUGCCCAAGCCACAUUGGCUAAUUGAUGCUCAAGACAUUAGAACCUAAGUUUGUCUGAUUCUUUUCAUGUGCCAUAUACAGUUACCAUGACUGUGGUUGGGCUGAGAGCCACACUUCUGAUUGGUUUAGGUUGAAUUGGGUAGGUAGAGAAGGAAGUGUGGAGGUAGAAAAGACUGUUUAGAUCCUUAGCUUUGAGGUCCCACCCACAUAUCAGUCUGGAGGGAUGUGUCACCCUCUUACAUUCCACUAAAAUAGUUGUGGAAAUAUCACUGAGUACUUUCUUGUAGAAAAACUUCUUGGGGCAGUUUUUUUUUAAUAUUUAUUUUUUAGUUGGACACAAUAGUUUAUUUUGUUUAUUUUUAUGUGGUGCUGAGGAUUGAACCCAGGGCCUCAAACGUGCUAGGCAAGCGUUCUACCGCUGAGCCACAACCCCAGCCCUCUUGGGGCAGUUUUUCAUUCCUGGUAAUCUUUAGAUGUUUGCCACUAUUGAUGCCAGUAUUUAAUACAGAACAGUUACUUUCUCAUAGAUCAACUGCCACUGCUGGGAAGGGCAAGAAUUUGACACUGGUAAUUUGGCAUUUUUAGCAACAGGAUCUUGGUUUUGCCAAGGGGAUGCUCCAAGAGGUUCCAGGCCUGACUCUGCUCCUGGAAGCUUUCUUUCUUCCCUGGUAGCUCUGCGUUCAAGAUCUCAGUGCCAUAUGGUGAUCUCUACUGCCUUUUUUUGCUCUGUUGAUGUGGCUCACCUCUUAUCCAGAGGGAUAUAUAAAGCAGGGAGGUAAAAGGACCAAGCAGGAAAGUUUGAGGGCACAAGAGUGUGAUAUAGGACAUAACCCCUAACUGCAAGUAACUUAUUGUAUGACCUUUAGCAAGUCUCUUCCCCAAGAUAUCCCAGUUCUGUUAAAGCAAUUGCUAAUAGUUCUUGCUCUAAUUCUGGUAGCAGAGCCACGGUUUGAACAUUAUACACACACACACACACACACACACACUAAGGACUUUACAUGCAUUAUCUUAGGCCGUUCUUAAAGUUACUUUAUGAGGUAGGUACUAUACAUAUACAUACUUUGUGACUGUGGAAAAUAAGAGCUCAGAUAGGAAAAAUAAUGUAUCCAUGAUUGUUGAGCUAGUUAACAUUAGAGAGGAUUUGAGCCCAUUUUUUGUUACUUUAAAAACUUUAAUUUCCAAUCUUAGAAUAACUAAUUCAUACUUAACAUAACAACUUUUACCAAUAGAAACAUUUUUCCUCACAUUACUUGUGUUUGUAACCAUUUUUAACCUCAAAGUCUGUGUGCAUAAGCAAAACACUGUGAGAAUACAGCUUGGGAGUAUUGGGAAGAAGUGGGAGCAAGGACACUGACUAGGGGACCUGAUCUUUUCCUCUAGUCAAGAAGGCAGAAUGAUGACCAAAUUGUCUCCUUUCUGCUGUGUAGAGGAGCUCACUAAAGCUGGGGACACAUAGAAAUGUCAGAUCUAUAGUACUUAGACCAGAGGAUCUCCCAGCUAAGCACUCAGGAUCUCUUUUCUCGUUAGGAGUCUUCUACCUGUUUUGCUCACUUCUCUAUUCUGAUGUUGCAGCUGUUCCCUGAAGAGGGACCUCUGCAGUUUUCCUGAGGCUAAAGAUGUGACUUCACUAGUGCUUUCUCUCUCUUUCCUUCCAGGGCCACAUCCUCCAGGAAGAUCUCUGUCACGUGGAAGCCCCUGGCCUGGCCUCCCGCAGUGCCACGCUCCGUGUAUUUGACAAGCUGAGUUGGACACUCCGUGUGGUAGAGUGUCAGUUUGUCAAAUACCCCAAGUGUGGCACAUGCUUAGCAGCUCCACACCAGGGCAGAUGGAAUACAACAUAUUUGCUGCCAAGUGGAUGUAAGAAUGCUCAUUAAACAACAAGGUCUCCUAAUUUAUUUUUUUGUAACUUUGAGGGAACCCAAGCAAUGCAUCUGAGGGUUUCAGGGGGAAAGUGCAGCAUCUCUGGUAAUUACAGCCCUGGUUUUCGUCUACACACCUCAUGAGAAUGCCUAGGAGCACACAAUAGUCUUGAAAAGACAUAAGGGAUACAGGGAUAGAUGUGCUCUUUGAUUUGUUAUUCUCUUCUUUCUUCACAUUCCCCUUCCAGAGUGUCACAGUCAGGACACCAGAAUCAAAUACUACAGGUUAUAUGAGAAAGCUGGGCAUGGAAAUCCACUCUUUUUAUGUUCAUUCUUGUCUUCUAAACACAGACUGGCUUUUCUACCUCUUCCUUUUUUCCUCAAACCUCUUCUUGAAACAACUUCUCCAUUUCUCUUGGCCUAAUUCUUUCCCAUACUUCCUGGCCCCACCACAGUAUAGUCUCCCCAGGGACUUUUGAAAGUCAUCCCAUGCUUACCCUUCUUCGCUUGCACAGCACUCCUUGCCUGAGUCCUGUUAUAUGCCCCAAUAUCUCAUUCCACCCAAUAUAAUCUUUUGGAUCAUGAGUAAACUUUUCCAAGGCUUACUCUUGAAUUCCCCACUAUAUUUUGAGCUUCUAGAAGACAAGAAUAUAUCUCCUUGGUUGUUGUCUCCCCUACCAUAACCCCAUAUUUUGGUUACGGAAAAUAUUCAAUAAAUGUUUGCUGAUUGAUUGACUUUUUACUUAGUUGAUUAGUUUUGGAUAUUUGUGCCAAGUGUCACCCAGGGUUCUAUGAAAAAAACAAACAAACUAUGGAAACCACAAUUUUAUACAGUAUAUGAGGGAAUAGCCAACAUGGAGAGCUUUUUCUUCCUGAGAAAUGAAGCCAAAGACUGGAGGAAGGGGGAAAACAAAAGGGCAAAUAAAUUGUAGAAUUACUUGAAUAUACAGAUAUGUGGUACUUUAUUGAAGGAUUUUUAAGAGUCCUUAAUAUUCUAAUUUUGCUUUGGGAAUCUCCAAGACAGAGAUAUGGAAUGAGGGCUGGGGAUAUAGCUCAGUUGGUAGAGUGCUUGCCUUGCAUGCAUAAGGCCCUGGGUUCAAUUCCCAGCACCGAGAGAGAGAGAGAGAGAGAGAGAGAGAGAGAGAGAGAGAGAAUGAAGCCUUCCCUAUGCCUACCUAUCCACUGAAAUUUUCUUGUUUAUUUUUUUUUUUUGGUGGUCUUGGGGAUUAAACCUAGGGUUUCAUAUAUACUAGGCAAACAUAGGCAAAUAUCCUGCUACUGAGCUACAUCCCCAGUCUUCUUCUUCUUCUUCUUCUUAUUAUUAUUAUUAUUAUUAUCAUUAUCAUUAUUUUAAAUAUUGAGACAAGAUCUCACUGAGUUGCUGAGAUUGGCCUAGAACUUGUGAUCCUCCUGCCUCAGCCCCCCAAGUAGCUGGGGUUACAGGUAUUUGCCACCAAACCCAGUUGUCCAGGGGAACUUUUAUUCCCCAUGGGAUAUCUCAUGAUAUUCCAUGAUAUUCUCCUGAUACUUCAUGUAACAAAAAUUGAGGGGGCUGGGGUUAUGGCUCAGUGUUAGUGUGCUUGCCUAGCAUACAUGAGGCACUGGGUUUGAUUCUCAGCACCACAUACAAAUAUAAAAUAAAGGUCCAUAAACAACUAAAAAAAAAUUUAAAAAUUGAGAAACUUCCCUAGACAAACUUCAUACCUUCCUUCCCUUCUAGAGAGCCUUCUUUUCACUCUUCUACUUUCCCUGACCAGACAGCUACCUAAGAUAGAUCCCAUAUUGUAAUACCUAGGAAUCACUUACUGGCUUGUCAUAUAUGGAAAAAGUUUUUAGUAUGGGGGCAAAUAUGAACUCCAGAAGGUGCCUGCUGCAAUAAAUAUAUACUUCUAGAAAUUUACCUGCCUAACUUGUGGUC
rnacentral:lncRNA from 1 species